rnacentral:tRNA from 1 species
GGGGUUGUGGCUUAGUGGUAGAGCGCUUGCCUAGCAUGCACAAGGCCCUGGGUUCAAUCCUCAGCACCA